UUGAACGCUGGCGGCAUGCCUUACACCUGCACGUCGAACGGCAGCACGGGUGCUUGCACCUGGUGGCGAGUGGCGAACGGGUGAGUAACACAUCGGAACAUGUCCUGUAGUGGGGGAUAGCCCGGCGAAAGCCGGAUUAAUACCGCAUACGAUCUACGGAUGAAAGCGGGGGACCUUCGGGCCUCGCGCUAUAGGGUUGGCCGAUGGCUGAUUAGCUAGUUGGUGGGGUAAAGGCCUACCAAGGCGACGAUCAGUAGCUGGUCUGAGAGGACGACCAGCCACACUGGGACUGAGACACGGCCCAGACUCCUACGGGAGGCAGCAGUGGGGAAUUUUGGACAAUGGGCGAAAGCCUGAUCCAGCAAUGCCGCGUGUGUGAAGAAGGCCUUCGGGUUGUAAAGCACUUUUGUCCGGAAAGAAAUCCUUGGCCCUAAUACGGUCGGGGGAUGACGGUACCGGAAGAAUAGGCACCGGCUAACUACGUG
rnacentral:rRNA from 1 species